GGAUGCUGAUAAUGAUGCCUUUUCGGCAUGUGGCUAAGCAUUCUUUGUAGGUGGUGAGUUUUGAUUUUUUUUGAAGAGCCGUGUGUUUGGCUUGAGCACAGUCAAAAUAUCGCAUGCCUUGGGUUAUAGAUGAUGUCGAGGGGAGAUAUAUUUCAUUGCAACAAAGUUUUAGCUUGGUUGCAUAUCUUCAUGAGGAAUUCGUUAUCAUUUGAUUAGUAUUUGAGUGAAUAGAUUCGAACUUAUAUUAUGUAUAUAAUAUUGAACUUGGGUAUUA